UACGUAGGGUGCAAGCGUUAAUCGGAAUUACUGGGCGUAAAGCGUGCGCAGGCGGUUAUAUAAGACAGUUGUGAAAUCCCCGGGCUCAACCUGGGAACUGCACCUGUGACUGUAUAGCUAGAGUACGGUAGAGGGGGGUGGAAUUCCGCGUGUAGCAGUGAAAUGCGUAGAGAUGCGGAGGAACACCGAUGGCGAAGGCAGCCCCCCUGGGCUAACACUGACGCUCAGGCACGAAAGCGUGGGGAGCAAACAGG
rnacentral:rRNA from 1 species